rnacentral:tRNA from 1 species
UCCCUGGUGGUUUAGUGGUUAGAACUUGGUGCUUUCACCAUUGCAGCCUGGGUUCAAUCCUGGUCUGGGAC